rnacentral:misc_RNA from 1 species
GACUACCCCACUCUUCAGAAAUGUAGUCACAAUCUUCUCCACAUUUGCAGCUUCAGUUCUAUUCAGAUAGGAAGUUCCACUAGCACUAAUCUCCUCUUGUCCCAUCUGAACAUAGAAGAACAUGGGACGGUUCGGCACAGGCCAAGGAAAAUCAAUUCCUGAUGAUAGUCUUUCAUUGACGGUUACACCAUUUUGAAGUGUACCUUCAUAA